rnacentral:lncRNA from 1 species
AUUGAUUACAUUUGCUAUCCAAAAUGUCUGGCUUCAUUCCCCAGCCCUCAUCAGUGCCUUGUUUUUAGUCCAAGUUGCUAACAGAUUGCUUAUUCAUCAGUUGAUGCCUCUCCAGCUUGCAGGUUGUGUCUGAGUUCCCUGAAAACUAGAAAAACACCCCUCAUUUUUGAGGACAACCACCAAUUUCUGUUUUCUCUGCUAGGUCAACAGGAAGAUGAACAAAGACAGACCCUAAUUUUGGCAUUUGGAUUCACAGGCACUAAAACUUCUUUAAUCAACUUAGCAAAGUUGAAAUAACAUGGGAUCCUGAUGCACAUACAAGCUUUUGUAUGUUUGGACAGUGAGGGAGUCAUAGAAAAGCUGCUUUUUCCUUCAUGGCUUCAACAGUGUUUCAGUCAGGACUUCGAAACAUGGAGUCUCGAAAACACUUACUUGUUGGUAGUUCUCAAUACUGUCCACUGGACUGGUGAAGGAACAUCUUUAGCCUGGCUUAUUUCCAAUUUCUUGAGCUUCACAUGAUGCUCAAAGUUUAAAUCUAGAAAAUAACAAAAACUCAGUUUCCUGCCUAUUUGUCACCAAGUCAGGUCUUCAUGAUGCAAGCUCACAGUUCCACUGCUGACAGGAGUUCUCCAAGACAGUGAAUAUCCAUGUAUCUCUUACCUCUCCUAAUUGUCACCAGGAGAGACCAGCCUUGCUGUUGGGAGUAAGAUUUGUACAAAAUCCAUCUCAUGUCAUUCUCCCACACGACAACUGCUUAUUUCUGUGAGUGUCUCUUGCUCCCCUGCUCCCAGGGACAUGUGCUGUCUUCAUGUUUGCAGUAAAGCACAUAAAAAGUGUAGGAAUGUGUUUUCUGAAUUAUUCAACUUCAGAAGAUAUUUUGCACAAGGCUAACUUAUUGAUUUCAGUAAUUAUUGAUUGCAUCUUUUUCUUUUUAGUCUACAACUAGGAGCCCCACAGACCAGGAACAGAUGCCUAAUUACCCAAGUGUGACUCUCCAGCCAGCUGCACACCAGUUUCCUCUGCUUGGCAUCCCACACAUGUUCCAUGACAGCCUCAGGCUCCAUCCUACUGUGACACCUCCAUGGGAUCAUUGCUGCACUUCCUUGGAUCCUCUUGCCAGGGCCAGCUCUGGAAGAAGACCAGUAUCACUAAAGGAAAUUAAUAAGGUUUCUCGUAAAGUCACCACUGAAUUUUACACCUUUUUCUGUGCUUUUAUUUUUUUUUCCAAGAUGACAGCUGACAAUUUAUAUAAAGGUGCAUUGCGUGCUUUGGUUAAUAAUUUUUGAACUCAUUUCAGUUUUUCCAUUGUGCUUGAUAAGUUGUUUAAAAGUAGAUUUUAUCCACAAAAGAGGGAGAUUGUGAAAGGCUAUAAGAUUACUAAGUGAAAGUGAAUAAAAUUUAGCUUUUGCUUUUUGUUGAAACA